rnacentral:rRNA from 1 species
CCUAGGGAGGCAGCAGUGGGGAAUAUUGGACAAUGGGCGAAAGCCUGAUCCAGCCAUGCCGCGUGGUGAAGAAGGCCUUAGGGUUGUAAACCCCUUUCAGCGGGGAAG